rnacentral:SRP_RNA from 1 species
GCUGGGUGCAGUGGCGUGUGUCUAUAGUCCCAGCUACUCAGGAGGCUGAGGUGGGAGGAUCGCUUGAGCCCAGGAGUUCUGGGCUGUAGUGCGCUAUGCCGAUCGGGUGUCCGCACUAAGUUUGGAAUCAACAUGGUGACCUCCUGGGAGCGGGGGACCACCAGGUUGCCUAAGGAGGGGUGAACUGGCCCAGGUCGGAAAUGGAGCAGGUCAAAACUCCCGUGCUGAUCCAUAGUGGGAUCGCACCUGUGAAUAGCCACUGCACUCCAGCCUGGGCAACAUAGCGAGACCCUGUCUCU